rnacentral:rRNA from 1 species
AACGAACGCUGGCGGCAUGCCUAACACAUGCAAGUCGAACGAGACCUUCGGGUCUAGUGGCGCACGGGUGCGUAACGCGUGGGAAUCUGCCCUUGGGUUCGGAAUAACAGUUAGAAAUGACUGCUAAUACCGGAUGAUGACGUAAGUCCAAAGAUUUAUCGCCCAAGGAUGAGCCCGCGUAGGAUUAGCUUGUUGGUGAGGUAAAGGCUCACCAAGGCGACGAUCCUUAGCUGGUCUGAGAGGAUGAUCAGCCACACUGGGACUGAGACACGGCCCAGACUCCUACGGGAGGCAGCAGUGGGGAAUAUUGGACAAUGGGCGAAAGCCUGAUCCAGCAAUGCCGCGUGGGUGAUGAAGGCCUUAGGGUUGUAAAGUUCUUUUACCAGGGAUGAUAAUGACAGUACCUGGAGAAUAAGCUCCGGCUAACUCCGUGCCAGCAGCCGCAGUAACAC